CCUACGAGGCGCUGCAGUGGGGGAUAUUGCACAAUGGGGGGAACCCUGAUGCAGCGACGCCGCGUGGGUGAAGGAGUAUUUCGGUAUUUAAAGCCCUAUCUGCAGGGAAGAAUUUAAACGGUACCUGACUAAGAAGCCCCGGCUAACUACGUGCCAGCAGCCGCGUUCAUACGUAGGGGGCAAUCGUUAUCCGGAUUCACUGGGGGUAAAGGGAGCGUAGACGGCCAGGCAAGCCUGGAGUGAAAGCCCGGGGCCCAACCCCGGUACUGCUCUGGGACCUGUCCGGCUGGAGUGCGGGAGGGGCAGGCGGAAUGCCUGGUGUAGCGGUGAAAUGCGUAGAUAUCAGGAGGAACACCGGCGGCGAAGGCGGCCUGCUGGACCGCGACUGACGUUGAGGCUCGAAAGCGUGGGGAGCGAACAGGAUUAGAUACCCUUGUAGUC
rnacentral:rRNA from 1 species